GCGGGUGUGGCGAAACUGGCGAGACGCAGUAGAUUUAGGUUCUGCCGGAGAAAUCCGUGGGGGUUCGAAUCCCUCCACCCGCACCA
rnacentral:tRNA from 1 species